rnacentral:tRNA from 1 species
GGCGUAGUGGCUGAACGGUAAAGCGCUUGGCUUCUGAUCCGGGGUCCUGGGUUCGAAUCCUGGUGAAGACU